rnacentral:rRNA from 1 species
CCUACGGGAGGCAGCAGUGGGGGAUAUUGCACAAUGGGGGAAACCCUGAUGCAGCGACGCCGCGUGUGGGAAGACGGUCCUCUGGAUUGUAAACCACUGUCCCCAGGGACGAAGAUGACGGUACCUGGGGAGGAAGCUCCGGCUAACUACGUGCCAGCAGCCGCGGUAAUACGUAGGGAGCGAGCGUUGUCCGGAAUUACUGGGUGUAAGGGGAGCGUAGGCGGGACUGCAAGUUGGGUGUCAAAUCUACCGGCUCAACCGGUAGCCGCACUCAAAACUGCAGUUCUUGAGUGAAGUAGAGGCAGGCGGAAUUCCUGGUGUAGCGGUGAAAUGCGUAGAUAUUAGGAGGAACACCAGUGGCGAAGGCGGCCUGCUGGGCUUUUACUGACGCUGAGGCUCGAAAGUGUGGGGAGCAAACAGGAUUAGAUACCCCGGUAGUC